rnacentral:rRNA from 1 species
AGCGAACGUUUGCGGCGGGCCUAACACAUGCAAGUCGAACGAGAUCUCGGGCUUCGGUCCGGGUGAAAGUGGCGCACGGGUGCGUAACACGUGGGUAAUCAACCCUCUGGAUCGGGACAACCCGGGGAAACUCGGGCUAAUACCGGAUACGUCGUCGGAGCUCUAGGGCUCUGACGGGAAAGGCCUGCAAGGGCUACCAGAGGACGAGCUCGCGGCCCAUCAGCUAGUUGGUGAGGUAAUGGCUCACCAGGGCGAAGACGGGUAGCUGGUCUGAGAGGAUGAUCAGCCACACUGGAACUGAGACACGGUCCAGACUCCUACGGGAGGCAGCAGUGGGGAAUAUUGCGCAAUGGGCGAAAGCCUGACGCAGCCACGCCGCGUGUGCGAUGAAGGUCUUCGGAUCGUAAAGCACUGUGGGGGGAGAAGAACAAAGCUGGUGAAGAGCCAGCCCUGACGGUAUCCCCUUAGCAAGCACCGGCUAACUCCGUGCCAG